GUCGUCAGAGCAAACAACAUGGACGAUGAUUAAAGUAUUUGAGUUCAAAACUGUUUUUUUCCUCUGAUAUAUGUAGCUGGUGCGUUAGAAAUCGGGUCUUCGGAGAGGCUUACGAUUAGUACCACCGCAAGACAGAGAAACAGACCAUAAUAGCUCGUGCGAGCUUCGCAUGUCGGCGAAGAUAAGAAACACACUAAGUUGUGUGAUUUAAAAUUUCUUGACGAUCGCCUGCUUAUGAAGCUAUAACGGAGGUCAAUGAAAGUUUUUGCGCAAAAUGCAAUAGAUUCUGGGAUUACCGAGGCCCGAAGUAACAAGGUUAGCGCAUGGUUAACAAACACGGUCGGAAACCAAAUUUUCGUCGCCCGUGACAGCUAAAAGGUACGAAAACAAAAUGAAGGUAAUCUGUAGGACAAAUACGUGGCGUUACCCACAAUCAGUUACUUACAUCACAAGUGGUACUUGAGAUGAUUUGGAACUUUCUCGAUUAACCAGCUUGUUUUGCCAGAAUAUGAAGAAAAACAAAUACAAGUUGUACAGCAUGAAGAGACAUUGCCCCUGAUUAUGAUCCCUGGCGCGACCGGGUCCAUGGUUUCCCGAUCAAGUGAAGCAGUCUUUGUGGAGUUAAACAUAAUUAUAAUCAUACCCAAGAAUAGAAAAAACACUUCUGACCACAAAAUAGAAUAACAGCUUGUUCAAACGUUACCUUAAACAUACAUGAAUGCUUUCGUCCAAAGUGUUACCUAAUUUCAGCAAAACUUAGAAACAGAAAGAUCCAAACCGCUGGGUCUUAAACGAACUUCUAUGUGCAUCAAAAAAAAAAAAGCAAAACUGAAAGAAAUGUCUGAAAAAAAUCACUUUCCCAACACUUGUUAUACGUCAAACUAUAUUUGUUCUAGCUGUAUCAGGAUUUAAACUUACGUAACGUAUUGCAAGGAAGGAAAUGCAUAUGAAGGGGGUUGGAAUGUAUUUUGUAUCAAUAUCGCCAUUCCUUCCGACACGCAAACCUUCGCGCCGGUGUUCGACCGAACCGAUUGCAAGAUAUGUUCAAUGAAAACAAGACUCGCCCAGGAGUACUUAAUUCCAAUAAGAUAUAAUUUUUGAUGAGGCCGACCCAGCGCAUUAUGAAUGUUUGAAAUCAGUCAAUUCAAUCUCGAUUGUGCGAUUAAGGCGGCAAAAAAAAAACGUUUUGGAAUUUUAUUCCUCUCAGUUAUGAAGGAGAAAUAUGUCUUAUAUGACCACAUGGCAAUGGCUAAAACGCACUGAGGUCAUGCAUUUAAGACGAUAUGAAAAGAAAUAGCGAAAUUCACUCAGUAAAUUCUGU